GAUGAACGCUAGCGGGAGGCCUAACACAUGCAAGCCGAGCGGUAUUGUUUCUUCGGAAAUGAGAGAGCGGCGUACGGGUGCGGAACACGUGUGCAACCUGCCUUUAUCUGGGGGAUAGCCUUUCGAAAGGGAGAUUAAUACUCCAUAACAUAUUGAACGGCAUCGUUUGAUAUUGAAAGCUCCGGCGGAUAGAGAUGGGCACGCGCAAGAUUAGCUAGUUGGUGAGGUAACGGCUCACCAAGGCGAUGAUCUUUAGGGGGCCUGAGAGGGUGAUCCCCCACACUGGUACUGAGACACGGACCAGACUCCUACGGGAGGCAGCAGUGAGGAAUAUUGGUCAAUGGGUGCAAGCCUGAACCAGCCAUCCCGCGUGAAGGACGACUGCCCUAUGGGUUGUAAACUUCUUUUGUAUAGGGAUAAAACCUACCCUUCGUGAGGGUAGGUGAAAGGACUA
rnacentral:rRNA from 1 species